GUAGGUGGCAAGCGUUGUCCGGAAUUAUUGGGCGUAAAGCGCGCGCAGGCGGUUCUUUAAGUCUGAUGUGAAAGCCCACGGGCUCAACCGUGGAGGGUCAUUGGAAACUGGAGAACUUGAGUACAGAAGAGGAAAGCGGAAUUCCACGUGUAGCGGUGAAAUGCGUAGAGAUGUGGAGGAACACCAGUGGCGAAGGCGGCUUUCUGGUCUGUAACUGACGCUGAGGCGCGAAAGCGUGGGGGGCAAACAGGAUUAGAUACCCUGGUAGUCCACGCCGUAAACGAUGAGUGCUAAGUGUUAGGGGGUUUCCGCCCCUUAGUGCUGCAGCUAACGCAUUAAGCACUCCGCCUGGGGAGUACGGCCGCAAAGGCUG
rnacentral:rRNA from 1 species